GAAGGAAUGUAGGGAGAAGGGGGGGGCAAUGACAAAAACAGGUGCAAGUUCGUCUCGGGCACAAGGGAAGGGAGAAAGGGGGGCUGGGGGAAACUACAUUUAGAUGGAUACAUUUAGAUCAAAUAAAAUAGUGUUGCAAAUGGAAAAAUACCCUCCUGUGGCCCAGUACAUUAUCAUUGCCAAAUUUGAAAAAA